GACGAACGCUGUCGGCGUGCUUAACACAUGCAAUUCGAACGGAAAGGCCCUGCUUUUGUGGGUUCCUCGAGUGCCGAACGGGUGAUUAACCCUUGAUUAACUUGCCCUUGACUUUGGGUUAACUUCAGGAAACUGGGGCUAAUACCGGUUAGGAGCUCCUUCUGCUUGGUGUGUGUUGGAAUGUUUCGGCGGUUGGGGAUGUACUCGCGGCUUAUCAGCUUGUUGGUGGGGUAGUGGCUUACCAAGGCGUUGACGGGUAGCCGGCCUGAGAGGGUGAACGGCCACAUUGGGACUGAGAUACGGCCCAGACUCCUACGGGAGGCAGCAGUGGGGAAUAUUGCACAAUGGGCGGAAGCCUGAUGCAGCAACGCCGCGUGCGGGAUGACGGCCUUCGGGUUGUAAACCGCUUUCGCCAGUGACGAAGCGUGAGUGACGGUAAUGGGUAAAGAAGCACCGGCUAACUACGUG
rnacentral:rRNA from 1 species